GUAUUCGUCGAUGAGCUGGGAGCCGAAGAAGUCAGUAUUGCCAGUGCUUGGAGUAGCUUCAUCCAUUAAUAUUGAAAAAGGGCCUUGUGAGUGCCUCCUGUCGCCCUCCACCCCCCGCCCGGAGGCCUUGUCCAGCGCUUGGCCCCAGGUCUAGCCCUUCCGCGUGAUGGACAUUGCACCUGAGGACAUAUCACUGGCGCCUUGCCGAUACAUGUCUGUAUUUGGAGAGCACGACUGGAAUGACAGACAGCUGCAGUAUCACCGAGCACUUACGUCAGCAGUGACACACAGACCCCGACGUGUGUCCCUCAGACGUGGCGAUCCGAGCAGGUGGGGACUGCUGUCCGUCUCGUUUGUGGAGGAACACUCAACGCGCCGGCUUGCCCCAGUGUGCUCACUUCCCUUGUGGGGAUCAGACACCAUUAAAAGCCCUUGGCAGUCGAGAUCUGCAGCGUCCGUGCCGUGUCUCUGGGUAGGUGCGCUCCGUGGGUCAGCAGGCUGUCUCUGUGCGGGCUCAGACACUGAGUGUUUCAGACUUGCGGUCCAGUUGUCUCUCAGCACCCACAGGGGCUUGGUUCCAGGACCACCCCCUGGGACCCCCAAAUCCAGGGACGCGGAGCUCUUCUGCUGUUGCGUUGGGAGCACCGCUAGGAUGGACGGGAAUGGGCGUGGCUGCGUGCCAGUGAGAACUUAUCAGCAAGAGCACGUCUCCAGGUCACAGGCUUGUCAACCCUUGCGCUAUACUUUAGUUGAUUGCUGCUGUUGGACACUCAGUCAUCUCCUAAUUUUUCACACGAAAAUGUGAAUUUUAAUCAAGUUCAAUCCAGUCAUCACUUCUCCUGGCUUCGCUUUAAGACUUGGAAAACUUUCUCCGUUUCGCAGUUGGCUGCGGCAUCUCUGUUUGUGCCUUUGAAGAGCCAAUUCACUUUUUUGGCCAUUGUGGAUUUCCCCUGCUGCUCUCUCCCUC
rnacentral:lncRNA from 1 species